CUCCCGCCUGCGCCGCGGGGCCGGGGCCGUGCGGGGCACCGGGGCGGCCGCCCCGCAGCGUGAGCGCUCGUGAAGUGCGGAACAGACGCUGAGAAAUAUGAAAAUUCAUCUUUAAGAAGAUGAAUCCUGCUCAAGGAAGGACACCCGGAAGAGGACUGAAUGCUACCUCCAGAUGAGAGGAAUUACCUGGAGAACUCAGGCAGGAGAGCAUUUGGGUUGUUCAGCAGGGUAUGCUUCAUUUGCCAGAAGAUGUCAUUUCCCCAUUUCUCAAGGGUUUGAGUAAUGCUGUAAACUCCUUCUAUGUUAACCUUGUCAGCUAGGUUAGCAGGAUGUCCAUGGAAGAGAGGAAAACAAAUGUGUCAGCACAAGAAAACACAAAACAGUGCUCCAAGUUUGAUUCCAUUCCCCGUCACAACUCAAUUGCUAUGAAAUGCCAGAUAUUAAACACAUGGAGGAUCUAAAUUAAAAAGCAGAAGUCUCAGCAGCUACCCAGCAAUCAAGAAAGAGCAGUCAUGAAUGAGCACUAUCUAUCUCACUCCAAGGACAAAAUAAGUGAAUCUGCAUCUCUGGGUUACUGAAUGCCUCCCAUGCUGAACCGUCAGCAUGAGUUCCUACCGCCUUC